ACCCCCUGUCAAUGGGGAAAGAGACACCUUGUUGGUGGUGGUGUUCUUAUAUCAGUCAGGAGCACGGCAGACAGCAGUUCUUCAUCCUAGCUCAAUACCUGGCUUGGUGUCCAAAGCUGUUUUAUGCCUGGGACUCACAA